rnacentral:lncRNA from 1 species
CGCGCGGGAGAAUGUACACCUGUUUUGGAAGGAUCUACCCCACCAGAGUGAAUAUACCAGGCCACCUGGAGGCAGGCUUUCCUGAGAGCACCUCCCGCUUCCUUUUCCUGCUGGCUUUUAACUUUUGCCCCGGGGGCCACAGCCAGCUUUCUCACUUGGUAGCAGUGGCCUCUUGUGCCUUUUUCUCCAAGAUCACCCAGGUCAGUAUGUGUGGUUACUCUCAGCUCCCUGAGGGAGUGAGCAGCCAGAGGGGCAUAGCAUACUUCUCUCCCUCCAGCUCCUUUCUCCUUGGUCCUAGGCCCUCUACUCUUCAAGCCCUUUUGCUUGCUUCAGCUCCUGCUUCUUGCUCCAUCUCCUCCCAUCUUUUCUCUCUUCUCCAAUUCAUUUCCUUGGACUCCAUUUCUGCCUUUAUACCCUUAUCUU